AUUCUCAUUAAUGAUCUUUUACCCAUUAUCGUUAUAAAGUUAAUACUUAUAUUAAUAUAUAUUUAAAUAUC
rnacentral:tRNA from 1 species